rnacentral:rRNA from 1 species
UCAAGCUAUAAAGAGCGUAGGGAGAAUGACUUGGCAUCAGGAGCCGAAGAAGGACGUGACAAGCUGCGAAAAGCUGCGGUUAGGAGCAAAUAUCCAUAGACCCGCAGAUAUCCGAAUGGGGAAACCCGGUACGGCAAUACCGUAUCACUGCAUGGUAAAUACAUAGCCAUGUGGAGGAAACCCUCUGAACUGAAACAUCUAAGUAGGAGGAGGAAGAGAAAGAAACAUCGAUUUCCUAAGUAGCGGCGAGCGAAAGGGAAAGAGGCCAAACCAGAGAUAGCAAUAUCUUUGGGGUUGCGGACUGCGUAAUUGAUUCAAUAUUUUUAGCAGAAGUGUAUGGGAAGACACACCAUAGUAGGUAAUAGUCCUGUAAGCGAAAAGGAUAUUGACAAGGCAGGAUCCAGAGUACCACCGGACACGAGGAACCCGGUGGGAAGCCGGGGGGACCACCCCCCAAGCCUAAAUACUACCUGAUGACCGAUAGUGAAAAGUACAGUGAUGGAAAGUUGAAAAGAACCCCGGAAGGGGAGUGAAAAAGAAUCUGAAACCCUAUGUUUACAAGCUGCUAAAGCACCAUAUGAGUGCGAUAGCGUACUUUUUGUAGAACGGUCCGGCGAGUGUAUGUUGCAAGCGAGGUUAAGGUGUUAAGCACUGAAGCCGAAGGGAGACCGAGUGUGAAUAGCGCGUACAGUUUGCAGUAUACGACCCGAAACCGGGUGACCUAACCAUGGACAGGUUGAAGUGGAAGUAAAAUUCCAUGGAGGACCGAACCCACGUCUGUUGAAAAAGGCGGGGAUGAGCUGUGGUUAGCGGUGAAAUUCCAAUCGAACUCGGAUAUAGCUGGUUCUCAUCGAAAUAGCUUUAGGGCUAGCCUCAGGAUAGUUUAGCGGAGGUAAAGCACUGAAUGGGCUAGGGGGCUUCACGGCUUACCGAACCCUAUCAAACUCUGAAUGCCGCAUAAAUGUUUCCUGGGAGUCAGACUGCGUGAGAUAAGUUUCGUAGUCAAAAGGGAAAGAGCCCAGACCUACAGCUAAGGUCCCUAAAUGAAUUUAAGUGGAAAAGGAUGUGCAGUUGCGUAGACAACUAGGACGUUGGCUUAGAAGCAGCCACUCAUUUAAAGAGUGCGUAAUAGCUCACUAGUCGAGUGAUUGUGCGCCGAAAAUGUAACGGGGCUAAAAUUCAUACCGAAGCUUAGGAAUGAUAGUAAUAUUGUUGGUAGAUGAGCGUUGUGUAAGUCUGCGAAGCUACACCGAAAGGAGUAGUGGAGAUAUCACAAGUGAGAAUGCCGGAAUGAGUAGCGAGAAUUAUGUGAGAAUCAUAAUGGUCGAAAAUCUAAGGUUUCUUGAGGAAGGUUCGUCCGCUCAAGGUAAGCCGGGAGCUAAGGCGAGGCCGAGAGGCGUAGUCGAUGCACAUACGGUUGAUAUUCCGUAGCCGCCAAAACUGUUAAGCAUGCUGACACUUGUGAAUAGCCGAACCCGGGCGUUGGUUGCCCCGGGCGUAAGGGACCGAACUUAUAGUAGGGAAGUCGGCGAUGUCAUGAGGCGAGAAAAGGCAUGUGUAUUGGUGAGGCGCCCGUACCGCAAACCGACACAGGUAGAUGAGGAGAGAAUCCUAAGGCCAACGGGAGAAGGGUUGUUAAGGAACUCGGCAAAUUGACCCCGUAACUUCGGAAUAAGGGGAGCCUACGAGAGUAGGCCGCAGAGAAUAAGCCCAAGCAACUGUUUACCAAAAACAUAGGUCUAUGCUAAAUCGAAAGAUGACGUAUAUGGGCUGACGCCUGCCCGGUGCCGGAAGGUUAAGAGGAGGGCUUAGCGCAAGCGAAGGUCUGAAUUGAAGCCCCGGUAAACGGCGGCCGUAACUAUAACGGUCCUAAGGUAGCGAAAUUCCUUGUCAGGUAAGUUCUGACCCGCACGAAAGGCGUAAUGAUUUGGGCACUGUCUCAACAGCCCACCCGGCGAAAUUGUAGUACUGGUGAAGAUGCCAGUUACCCGCAACUAGACGGAAAGACCCCAUGGAGCUUUACUGUAGCUUAAUACUGGAGAUCGGUAAAUCAUGUACAGGAUAGGUGGGAGGCUUGGAAGCCAGGGCGUCAGCCU